rnacentral:rRNA from 1 species
CAAUGGGCGAAAGCCUGACGGAGCAAUACCGCGUGAGGGAGGAAGGCUCUUGGGUCGUAAACCUCUUUUCUCAGGGAAGAAAAAAAUGACGGUACCUGAGGAAUAAGCAUCGGCUAACUCCGUGCCAGCAGCCGCGGUAAUACGGAGGAUGCAAGCGUUAUCCGGAAUGAUUGGGCGUAAAGGGUCCGCAGGUGGUACUGUAAGUCUGCUGUUAAAGAGCAAGGCUCAACCUUGUAAAAGCAGUGGAAACUACAGAACUAGAGUGCGUUCGGGGCAGAAGGAAUUCCUGGUGUAGCGGUGAAAUGCGUAGAUAUCAGGAAGAACACCGGUGGCGAAAGCGUUCUGCUAGGCCGUAACUGACACUGAGGGACGAAAGCUAGGGGAGCGAAUGGGAUUAGAUACCCCAGUAGUCCUAGCCGUAAACGAUGGAUACUAGGCGUGGCUUGUAUCGACCCGAGCCGUGCCGGAGCUAACGCGUUAAGUAUCCCGCCUGGGGAGUACGCACGCAAGUGUGAAACUCAAAGGAAUUGACGGGGGCCCGCACAAGCGGUGGAGUAUGUGGUUUAAUUCGAUGCAACGCGAAGAACCUUACCAAGACUUGACAUCCUGCGAAUCUUUGGGAAACUGAAGAGUGCCUUCGGGAGCGCAGAGACAGGUGGUGCAUGGCUGUCGUCAGCUCGUGUCGUGAGAUGUUGGGUUAAGUCCCGCAACGAGCGCAACCCUCGUUUUUAGUUGCCAGCAUUAAGUUGGGCACUCUAGAGAGACUGCCGGUGACAAACCGGAGGAAGGUGAGGAUGACGUCAAGUCAGCAUGCCCCUUACGUCUUGGGCUACACACGUACUACAAUGCUACGGACAAAGGGCAGCAAGCUAGCGAUAGCAAGCAAAUCUCAUAAACCGUAGCUCAGUUCAGAUCGAAGGCUGCAACUCGCCUUCGUGAAGGAGGAAUCGCUAGUAAUUGCAGGUCAGCAUACUGCAGUGAAUUCGUUCCCGGGCCUUGUACACACCGCCCGUCACACCAUGGAAGUUGGUCACGCCCGAAGUCAUUACCCCAACCGAAAGGAGGGGGAUGCCUAAGGUAGGACUGGUGACUGGGGUGAAGUCGUAACAAGGUAGCCGUAA